GAUGAACGCUAGCGGCAGGCGUAACACAUGCAAGUCGAGGGGUAUAGGUUUUCGGACCUAGAGACCGGCGCACGGGUGCGUAACGCGUAUGCAAUCUACCUUUCACAGAGGGAUAGCCCAGAGAAAUUUGGAUUAAUACCUCAUAGUAUAGCAGUUUCGCAUGAAACCACUAUUAAAGUUCCAACGGUGAAAGAUGAGCAUGCGUCCCAUUAGCUAGAUGGUGAGGUAACGGCUUACCAUGGCUACGACGGAUAGGGGUCCUGAGAGGGAGAUCCCCCACACGAGUACUGGGACACGGACCAGACUCCUACGGGAGGCAGCAGUGAGGAAUAUUGGUCAAUGGACGCAAGUCUGAACCAGCCAUGCCGCGUGCAGGAUGACGGUCCUAUGGAUUGUAAACUGCUUUUGUACGAGAAGAAACAUUCCGACGUGUCGGAACUUGACGGUAUCGUAAGAAUAAGGAUCGGCUAACUCCGUGCCAGCCGCCGCCGUAAAAC
rnacentral:rRNA from 1 species